CAUGGUCGUAAGUCUUACUCUCAGUACGUCCACCAGGAGAAGGUUGAAAAAAACAAGGACGUGGACUUGGUGGAUUUGUUCGAGAUUAAGCACAAGAAGAAGAAGGAUAAACAAUGGGAACACCCGAUGGCUGAAGAAAUACAUUCUCAGCUCAAGAAGAAGAAGGAGGAGGCUGAACAGGACCCCGUUCCAACACCAGAUCCUGACAUUGUCAUGGAUGUACGGGGAC